GAAAGGAAGUUCCAAUGAAAGCGUUUCAAAAGUUAUACAUUAGUGAUUGAUCGACCGAAGUUGUUUCAAUAAGAAUAAGCCCUCGAUCGAGUCACUGGGGAGCAGGGGAAGGCGAAAGAGGUUAUCAGAGGAGUGGUUCGAGGUUGUUGUCGACAUUCAAAUGAAAGGUAGGGGCUGGCAGGUAAUGGGGUGGAGUGGUCGAUCAUGAAGGCAGUUGGAGAUUGAUUCGGAGGAUAGAGAAUUGAGUUGGAAGUUUGGUUUGACUAAUUGCGUAUUGUGAAACCUGCGCUAGUCUAGGUUUCACAUUAGCAUUCCUGAG
rnacentral:lncRNA from 1 species